rnacentral:rRNA from 1 species
UUAAGUUAUUAAGGGCGCACGGUGGAUGCCUUGGCACUAGAAGCCGAUGAAGGACGUUACUAACGACGAUAUGCUUUGGGGAGCUGUAAGUAAGCUUUGAUCCAGAGAUUUCCGAAUGGGGAAACCCAGCAUGAGUUAUGUCAUGUUAUCGAUAUGUGAAUACAUAGCAUAUCAGAAGGCACACCCGGAGAACUGAAACAUCUUAGUACCCGGAGGAAGAGAAAGAAAAUUCGAUUCCCUUAGUAGCGGCGAGCGAAACGGGAAGAGCCCAAACCAACAAGCUUGCUUGUUGGGGUUGUAGGACACUCUAUACGGAGUUACAAAGGACGACAUUAGACGAAUCAUCUGGAAAGAUGAAUCAAAGAAGGUAAUAAUCCUGUAGUCGAAAAUGUUGUCUCUCUUGAGUGGAUCCUGAGUACGACGGAGCACGUGAAAUUCCGUCGGAAUCUGGGAGGACCAUCUCCUAAGGCUAAAUACUCUCUAGUGACCGAUAGUGAACCAGUACCGUGAGGGAAAGGUGAAAAGCACCCCGGAAGGGGAGUGAAAUAGAACCUGAAACCGUGUGCUUACAAGUAGUCAGAGCCCGUUAAUGGGUGAUGGCGUGCCUUUUGUAGAAUGAACCGGCGAGUUACGAUUUGAUGCAAGGUUAAGCAGUAAAUGUGGAGCCAUAGCGAAAGCGAGUCUGAAUAGGGCGUUUAGUAUUUGGUCGUAGACCCGAAACCAGGUGAUCUACCCUUGGUCAGGUUGAAGUUCAGGUAACACUGAAUGGAGGACCGAACCGACUUACGUUGAAAAGUGAGCGGAUGAACUGAGGGUAGCGGAGAAAUUCCAAUCGAACCUGGAGAUAGCUGGUUCUCUCCGAAAUAGCUUUAGGGCUAGCCUCAAGUGAUGAUUAUUGGAGGUAGAGCACUGUUUGGACGAGGGGCCCCUCUCGGGUUACCGAAUUCAGACAAACUCCGAAUGCCAAUUAAUUUAACUUGGGAGUCAGAACAUGGGUGAUAAGGUCCGUGUUCGAAAGGGAAACAGCCCAGACCACCAGCUAAGGUCCCAAAAUAUAUGUUAAGUGGAAAAGGAUGUGGCGUUGCCCAGACAACUAGGAUGUUGGCUUAGAAGCAGCCAUCAUUUAAAGAGUGCGUAAUAGCUCACUAGUCGAGUGACACUGCGCCGAAAAUGUACCGGGGCUAAACAUAUUACCGAAGCUGUGGAUUGUCCUUUGGACAAUGGUAGGAGAGCGUUCUAAGGGCGUUGAAGCAUGAUCGUAAGGACAUGUGGAGCGCUUAGAAGUGAGAAUGCCGGUGUGAGUAGCGAAAGACGGGUGAGAAUCCCGUCCACCGAUUGACUAAGGUUUCCAGAGGAAGGCUCGUCCGCUCUGGGUUAGUCGGGUCCUAAGCUGAGGCCGACAGGCGUAGGCGAUGGAUAACAGGUUGAUAUUCCUGUACCACCUAUAAUCGUUUUAAUCGAUGGGGGGACGCAGUAGGAUAGGCGAAGCGUGCGAUUGGAUUGCACGUCUAAGCAGUAAGGCUGAGUAUUAGGUAAAUCCGGUACUCGUUAAGGCUGAGCUGUGAUGGGGAGAAGACAUUGUGUCUUCGAGUCGUUGAUUUCACACUGCCGAGAAAAGCCUCUAGAUAGAAAAUAGGUGCCCGUACCGCAAACCGACACAGGUAGUCAAGAUGAGAAUUCUAAGGUGAGCGAGCGAACUCUCGUUAAGGAACUCGGCAAAAUGACCCCGUAACUUCGGGAGAAGGGGUGCUCUUUAGGGUUAACGCCCAGAAGAGCCGCAGUGAAUAGGCCCAAGCGACUGUUUAUCAAAAACACAGGUCUCUGCUAAACCGUAAGGUGAUGUAUAGGGGCUGACGCCUGCCCGGUGCUGGAAGGUUAAGAGGAGUGGUUAGCUUCUGCGAAGCUACGAAUCGAAGCCCCAGUAAACGGCGGCCGUAACUAUAACGGUCCUAAGGUAGCGAAAUUCCUUGUCGGGUAAGUUCCGACCCGCACGAAAGGCGUAACGAUUUGGGCACUGUCUCAACGAGAGACUCGGUGAAAUCAUAGUACCUGUGAAGAUGCAGGUUACCCGCGACAGGACGGAAAGACCCCGUGGAGCUUUACUGUAGCCUGAUAUUGAAAUUCGGCACAGCUUGUACAGGAUAGGUAGGAGCCUUUGAAACGUGAGCGCUAGCUUACGUGGAGGCGCUGGUGGGAUACUACCCUAGCUGUGUUGGCUUUCUAACCCGCACCACUUAUCGUGGUGGGAGACAGUGUCAGGCGGGCAGUUUGACUGGGGCGGUCGCCUCCUAAAAGGUAACGGAGGCGCUCAAAGGUUCCCUCAGAAUGGUUGGAAAUCAUUCAUAGAGUGUAAAGGCAUAAGGGAGCUUGACUGCGAGACCUACAAGUCGAGCAGGGUCGAAAGACGGACUUAGUGAUCCGGUGGUUCCGCAUGGAAGGGCCAUCGCUCAACGGAUAAAAGCUACCCCGGGGAUAACAGGCUUAUCUCCCCCAAGAGUUCACAUCGACGGGGAGGUUUGGCACCUCGAUGUCGGCUCAUCGCAUCCUGGGGCUGUAGUCGGUCCCAAGGGUUGGGCUGUUCGCCCAUUAAAGCGGUACGCGAGCUGGGUUCAGAACGUCGUGAGACAGUUCGGUCCCUAUCCGUCGUGGGCGUAGGAAAUUUGAGAGGAGCUGUCCUUAGUACGAGAGGACCGGGAUGGACAUACCUCUGGUGUACCAGUUGUCGUGCCAACGGCAUAGCUGGGUAGCUAUGUGUGGACGGGAUAAGUGCUGAAAGCAUCUAAGCAUGAAGCCCCCCUCAAGAUGAGAUUUCCCAACUUCGGUUAUAAGAUCCCUCAAAGAUGAUGAGGUUAAUAGGUUCGAGGUGGAAGCAUGGUGACAUGUGCAGCUGACGAAUACUAAUCGAUCGAAGACUUAAUCAA